CACGUAGGGCGCAAGCGUUGUCCGGAAUUAUUGGGCGUAAAGAGCUCGUAGGCGGUCUGUUGCGUCCGCUGUGAAAACUCGGGGCUUAACCCCGAGCCUGCAGUGGAUACGGGCAGACUAGAGUGUGGUAGGGGAGACUGGAAUUCCUGGUGUAGCGGUGAAAUGCGCAGAUAUCAGGAGGAACACCGAUGGCGAAGGCAGGUCUCUGGGCCACUACUGACGCUGAGGAGCGAAAGCGUGGGGAGCGAACAGG
rnacentral:rRNA from 1 species